ACCUGAAAAGAGCAAACUUAAAGAAAUUUAGGGACGCAAAGUUAUGGGCCUAAAAGGAAGUUCAACCUUAUGGCUGCCAGACUGCCAGG
rnacentral:ncRNA from 2 species